rnacentral:rRNA from 1 species
CCUCUACGUCUCGUGGGCUCGGAGAUGUGUAUAAGAGACAGGUCUACCAGUAAGACUGUGGGGGAUAAGCUCCAUUGUCAAGAGGGAAACAGCCCAGAGCACCAGUUAAGGCCCUUAAAUAUUUACUAAGUGAUAAAGGUGGUGGGAGUGCAUAGACAAUCAGGAGGUUUGCUUAGAAGCAGCAAUCCUUUAAAGAGUGCGUAAUAGCUCACUGAUCGAGUAAACCUGCGCCGAAAAUGUACGGGACUAAGUAAUUUGCCGAAACUGUGCGAUAUACAAAUGAUAUAUCGGUAGGGGAGCGUUCUGUUGUAGGUCGAAGUAUUAGCGUAAGCGGAUAUGGACGAAGCAGAAGUGAGAAUGUCGGCUUGAGUAACGAAAAUAUAGGUGAGAAUCCUAUACCCCGAAAACCCAAGGUUUCCUCCGGAAGGCUCGUCCGCGGAGGGUAAGUCAGGACCUAAGGCGAGGCUGAAAAGCGUAGUCGAUGGACAACGGGUUAAUAUUCCCGUACCAUUUUUUAUUGACAUCGAGGGACGGAGAAGGCUAAGCUAGCCGGAUAUUGGUUACCGGUUUAAACGUUCGAGGCGUUGAGAAGUGGCGAAAACACUUUGAGUUGAGACGUGAAUACGAGACGCUAAGGCGUUGAAGUAGUGUAUGUCAGACUUCCAAGAAAAGCUUGCACUGUCAUAAAUAAAAAAUGCCUGUACCAUAACCGACACAGGUGGGUAGGUAGAGUAUACUAAGGGGCGCGAGAUAACUCUCUCUAAGGAACUCGGCAAAAUAACUCCGUAACUUCGGGAGAAGGAGUGCCUUAUUUAAUAAGGUUGCAAUAACAAGAUCCAAGCAACUGUUUAUCAAAAACACAGGUCUCCGCUAAGUCGUAAGACGAUGUAUGGGGGCUGACGCCUGCCCAGUGCCAGAAGGUUAAAGAAGUCGGUUAGUUUUUACGAAGCUGGUGACUGAAGCCCUGGUGAACGGCGGCCGUAACUAUAACGGUCCUAAGGUAGCGAAAUUCCUUGUCGGGUAAGUUCCGACCCGCACGAAAGGCGUAAUGAUUUGGAUACUGUCUCGGAGAGGGGCUCGGUGAAAUAGACUUGUCUGUGAAGAUGCGGACUACCUGCACCAGGACAGAAAGACCCUAUGAAGCUUUACUGUAACUUGAAAUUGAAAUUGGACUUUAUUCGCGCAGUAUAGGUGGGAAGCGUUGAAAGUACUUUUGCGGAAGUACUGGAGCUAUCAGUGAGAUACCACUCUUGUAAUGUUAGAUUUCUAACUUUGAACCAUUAUCUGGUCAAAGAACAGUUUCAGGCGGGCAGUUUGACUGGGGCGGUCGCCUCCCAAACGGUAACGGAGGCGUACAAAGGUUUCCUCUGAACGUGUAGAAAUCGUAUCUAGAGUGUAAAGGCAUAAGGAAGCUUGACUGUGAGACCUACAAGUCGAGCAGGGACGAAAGUCGGUCUUAGUGAUCUGACGGUACUGAGUGGAAAGGCCGUCACUCAACGGAUAAAAGUUACUCUAGGGAUAACAGGCUGAUCUCCCCCAAGAGUUCA